UGUAUUCACUACUGUAAGUCGCUCUGGAUAAGAACGUCUGCUAAAUGACGUAAA
rfam:Salmo salar isolate Sally breed double haploid chromosome ssa03, whole genome shotgun sequence.